rnacentral:tRNA from 1 species
GGGCUCGUAGCUCAGACUGGUUAGAGCGUUCCUAAUUGAUAUCUUAAGUGCUGCAAGGUGCUCCCUUUUGUCGAGGGACGACAAUAAGAUAUUGAGAGGGGAAGGUCGCUGGUUCAAAUCCAGCCGAGUCCA